AGCAGCCGCGGUAAUUCCAGCUCCAAUAGCGUAUAUUAAAGUUGUUGCAGUUAAAAAGCUCGUAGUUGAAUUUCGGGAUCAAAGAAUCGGUCAUGCCUUGGUAUGUACUGGUUUUAUUGGUUCUCACCUUCUAAAGAACCAUGAUGUCAUUCAUUUGAUGUUAUGGGGAAUUAGGACUGUUACUUUGAAAAAAUUGGAGUGUUUAAAGCAGGCUCACGCUUGAAUACAUUAGCAUGGAAUAAUGAAAUAGGACGUUUGACCCUAUUUUGUUGGUUUCUAGGAUCGACGUAAUGAUUAAUAGGGAUAGUUGGGGGCAUUAGUAUUCAAUUGUCAGAGGUGAAAUUCUUGGAUUUAUUGAAGACUAACUACUGCGAAAGCAUUUGCCAAGGAUGUUUUCAUUAAUCAAGAACGAAAGUUAGGGGAUCGAAGACGAUCAGAUACCGUCGUAGUCUUAGCCAUAAACUAUGCCGACUAGGGAUCGGAUGAUGUUAAUUUUAUAAUGACUCAUUC
rnacentral:rRNA from 1 species